AAAUUGAAGAGUUUGAUCAUGGCUCAGAUUGAACGCUGGCGGCAGGCCUAACACAUGCAAGUCGAACGGUAACAGGAAGCAGCUUGCUGCUUCGCUGACGAGUGGCGGACGGGUGAGUAAUGUCUGGGAAACUGCCUGAUGGAGGGGGAUAACUACUGGAAACGGUGGCUAAUACCGCAUAACGUCGCAAGACCAAAGAGGGGGACCUUCGGGCCUCUUGCCAUCAGAUGUGCCCAGAUGGGAUUAGCUUGUUGGUGAG
rnacentral:rRNA from 2 species